GAUGAACGCUAGCGACAGGCUUAAUACAUGCAAGUCGUGGGGCAGCGCAGGUAGCAAUACUGGGCGGCGACCGGCAAACGGGUGCGGAACACGUACACAACCUUCCGAGAAGUGGGGAAUAGCCCAGAGAAAUUUGGAUUAAAUACCCCGUAACAUAACGAUGUGGCAUCACAUUGUUAUUAUAGCUUCGGCGCUUCUUGAUGGGUGUGCGGCUGAUUAGAUAGUUGGCGGGGUAACGGCCCACCAAGUCUACGAUCAGUAGCUGAUGUGAGAGCAUGAUCAGCCACACGGGCACUGAGACACGGGCCCGACUCCUACGGGAGGCAGCAGUAAGGAAUAUUGGUCAAUGGACGCAAGUCUGAACCAGCCAUGCCGCGUGAAGGAUUAAGGUCCUCUGGAUUGUAAACUUCUUUUAUCUGGGACGAAAAAAGGCGAUUCUUCGUCACUUGACGGUACCAGAUGAAUAAGCACCGGCUAACUCCGUGCCAGCAGCCG
rnacentral:rRNA from 1 species